GGUCGCACUUACUGUCUUUCAUUUAUGGUUUCGGGGAAAUGAAGCUCUCACAGAGAGCGGAAGAAACGGAGAGACAGACAGAGAGACAGACAGAGAGAGAAAGAGAGAGAGAGAGACAGAGAGAGAGAGAGAUUUCGAGGGGAAGACAGCGCAGGGAGAGGUAUGGCUGAUGGAUUUCAGAAGUGGGAAAGUGGGUGAUAUCUUCUCGGUUUUGACUGAGUUCGAGGGUUGUUGUGUGCUGUCCUUCGAUGAGGGUUUCGGGGGGAUGGAGACUGUGACAGAGAGCGGAAGAAAGAGAGAGAGAGAGAGAUAGAGAGAGAGAGAGAUGACGAUGGAAGGAGAGCGAAGGGGAAAGGUAUGAGUCGUCGAUUUCAGAAGUGGGGAUACGGAUUAUCCGGAUCUACCGCUGCAUGCCUGGAUUUCGAAAGAUAAGUGCUUUAAAAUUUUUUUUUUUUCUAUCAGCUUAGAUCUGCCUGUUUGUUGUGGAUUAUUUUCGAAUUUUUUAGUGUAUUAGGUCAGAUUUUGGGGGAAUCAUCAGAGAUAUUUAUUUCCCUUAUAAGUUUUCUUUUCUCUCAUUUUGCACAUUGAUCUCUCUGUCUGCGCAUUUGUUCACAGAGAGCGGAAGAAACCGAGAGACAGAGAGACAGACAGAGAGAGAAAGAGAGACAGAGAGAGGCAGAGAGAGAGAGAUGUCGACGGGAAGACAGCAGGGAGAGGUAUGGCUGUUGUCUGCAGUUUCAUUUGCUGUCCUUCAAGGAGGGUUUCGGGGGGAUGGACUGUGACAGAGAGCGGAGAAAUUAAGCUCUCACAGAGAGCGGAAGAAACGGAGAGACAGAGAGACAGACAGAGAGAGAAAGAGAGAGAGAGAGACAGAGAGAGAGAGAUGCCGAGGGGAAGACAGCAGGGAGAGGUAUGGCUGUUGUCUGCAGUUUCAUUUGCUGUCCUUCAAGGAGGGUUUGGGGGGAUGGACUGUGACAGAGAGCGGAAGAGAGAGAGAGAGAGAGAGAGAGAGAGAGAGAGAGACAGAGAUGACGAUGGAAAGAGAACGAAGAUGAAAGGGGAAGCUACAUGCCUGAAUUUCGAAAGCUAAGUGCUUUUAAAUUUUUUUUUUUUCCUAUCAGCUUAGAUCUGGUUUUUUGUUGUGGAUUAUUUUCGAAUUUUUUAGUGUGUUAGGUCAGAUUUUAGUGGAAUCAUCAGAGAUAUUUAUUUCCCUUAUUAGUUUUCUUUUCUCUCAUUUUGCACAUUGAUCUCUCUGUCUGCCUGUUUGUUCUCUCACAAUUCCCUGCUUCUGUCGCUCUUGAACCUCGAUUCCUUUCGCUCUCCAAGGCUACCUUCUCUCCCUCUUCCACCGUGCGAUCUUUGUCUCACAAGUUACCAACCGCACUUUCUUGCUAAAAAACCUUCACUGCUUUCUCUGUUGCUAGAGGUUGCUUUCUCUUCUGCUCUCGCAGGGCCUUCAGUUCUCACUUAGAUUCCAGAGUAGAAGCCCAGAAAGCUAAUAUGGCAAAGCGAGAGCUUUCCAGCACUCUCAGGAACUUAAAAGUUUAUGCAAAGAGCAACUUAGAAAGAGGUGAAGAAAGAAGAAGAUGUCAAACCAUACCUUAUCACCUCAGAAUUUUACGUUUAAUAACCAAGUGGAUUACUUUACUUGGUUGGACCUGUUUUUAUAGCUAUAUUUCAACCUUUCCUCUGAUAGCUUUUAACGAUUGGAUUUCUCGAGUCUACUUUCCAUGCUUUGACCAUUUCAUUUGGCUGAGGGUUCUGGGUUUUGGAGAAUUCUUCAUUAAAUUGAAUUUUUUGUGAUUAAAUUUCUGGCUUAAGUAGCGGUUUUUGAGGUUGUGGUCUCCAAAAAAAGUUGAUGCAGGUUUCCUUUCUAUGAACCUGAUUUUGGAUGGGGAAAGCCACCAUGGGUGACUUCAGGUACGGAGUUCAAGAAUCUGAUUGUGUUAAUGGAUACACGAGAUGGAGAUGGCAUAGAAGUAUCCUUGAAUCUCAAGGAAGAAGACCUGGCCAUAUUUGAAAGCACUAAGGAGCUGCUUGAGGUGCUAAUGUGCCUCCACCAUUCAAUUCAUUUGAAUCUACUGGUCUCCCAUAUGAGAUUCAGAGGUUUUGAGCUUCCACAAAUUUCAAGGCGUUCAAACUUUACUCUCGAAUGAAAUGGAUCAAUUUGUUUGCAGCUUGAAGAUUUUUACUUUCACCAAGUUUAUCUUCAACUCCAGGCUUUGAAAUACAAUGUUGUUCUAGGCUGUCAUCUAGAUUCCCAAUCACAUGUUUCCACGGCGGUUUCAAAGAGGUCCUUGAGACGAUCAGAUGCUGUACUCAGCAGCCACCAUUAUAAUAAGGUAAUUACUAUAAAUACAAAUGGAUGGUGCAUACAAAUUACUAUAACUUCAAGAAAAAACAAAACAGACCCAGAUACCAAUUCACUUCAGUCCUCAAACAUCUCGAUCCAUUCCAGCUUUUUCUCUUCCUUGCAUGGAGAGCUGUACAAGGCACUUUCUGCAAUUUAUUGCAAAAUAAUGUCAGUUAUCCCUUCUUUGGAUACAACUCAAACUGGGAGCAAGUCUGGUAUCCAAGCUUUACGUUCGUUGCAUGUAGCACAUGAAAAGUCUAAGAAUGUAGUAAGCUUUAUUUGGCAGCAACGCGCGGGUGCAAAUUCUAGUUUUACCUAUAACCAUUGUACUUUAUGAAAAUUGACAGUUGCUCAAAUUAAGAAAAGAUGUUCGUGGAAAAUGCGCACCCAUCAAUGUAUUCGAUCUUGUAACUAUAAUCUUGUACAAAUUAGAAAGUCUUAUUUUAUGUGCUAUAAAAAUUCUUUAUUUAUUGCCUAUGAGUUUUGAAUUUUAUAUAUUAUUUUAUAAUGGGAAUCACAUGUUUCAGAAUUGGCAGAAGAGUCAUACAAAGAAAUCAAUCCGAUCAGCUAUUUUAACAAAUCUUUCGUCACACCAAUGAGAUCAGCCAUGUUCAUAUCAAUGAAAGAGACGGGAAACUGAGUGAGGAAAUUAAUAUUAAUUAAAGGCCAUAACUUGAGCUAGCUUGUGCUUAAUUUCUUAUAAAUAGGAUAGCAGGUUUGAACUGAGCAACACAUUCACAACAAGCAAAUUAAAUCAUCAAGAGAGAAGAAAAAAGAGAGAUCAUCCCAAUCCCAACGACACUAUACAUCAUGGCUCCACCUGUACUACCAAGCCCCUUUCUUCUGAAAGCAGAUAUCAACAACAAAUACUUGCGCUAUCAACUUGAUGCAGAAAGCGACCUCAAUGAGAUUGUCCAGUUUUCUGAGGACAAUGAAAACAGCCGGUUCAUAAAGUUCACCACCGAGAAGCCAAACAAUGAGGACUACGCCGACAAGAAUUACGUGCAUAUCAAAUGCUCCUACAACGGCAACUACUUGAGAAGGGUGGACCAAAACAGGCUAUUGGUCCUGGCCGCGGCUACUGACCGAAACGAAACCAAAGACAAUUGGGCUUGCACAUUGUUCAAAGUCGAGCCUGUCGGACCACCUGACAACAACAACCUAAUCACGCGCUGCCGAUUACGCCACUUGCAAAGCGACCUCUUAACCAGGCCGUUCAUUGAGAACAGAUUCGAAUUACGCCUCAGCCAAAAAACACCUGACGCUGGAGGGGUGGAUAUCUACUCCGUCUCCCAAGUUAAAUGUUGAUGAUCACUAUGCAUGAUGUUUGUGGGUAACGUCUCUGGAAACCCUCACGAGACUUCACUCGUCCCAUUUGGGUCACCUAUGGGUUUAAAAGGCUUGUUGCAUGCGCUAAUGCAAUCGUGUUCCCCGCGAAAGUGGCAUUGAUUUUCAUCACUACUUUUUUCCUUGUUUUUGGUUUUUGAAUUUCCUGUAAUCCAUGUGUUUAUAGAAAUAAUAAUAAACUCAUGUCUUAUCUUUGCGUUUGGAUAA